GACGAACGCUGGCGGCGUGCCUAAUACAUGCAAGUAGAACGCACAGGAUGCACCGUAGUUUAUUACACCGUAUUCUGUGAGUUGCGAACGGGUGAGUAACGCGUAGGUAACCUGCCUGGUAGCGGGGGAUAACUAUUGGAAACGAUAGCUAAUACCGUAUAAGAACAUUUACUGCAUGGUAGAUGUUUAAAAGGUGCAAGAGCAUCACUACCAGAUGGACCUGCGUUGUAUUAGCUAGUUGGUGAGGUAACGGCUCACCAAGGCAACGAUACAUAGCCGACCUGAGAGGGUGAUCGGCCACACUGGGACUGAGACACGGCCCAGACUCCUACGGGAGGCAGCAGUAGGGAAUCUUCGGCAAUGGGGGGAACCCUGACCGAGCAACGCCGCGUGAGUGAAGAAGGUUUUCGGAUCGUAAAGCUCUGUUGUUAAGGAAGAACGUGUGUGAGAGUGGAAAGUUUCACACAGUGACG
rnacentral:rRNA from 1 species